ACCUCCCCACAGUCCCCACCCCGGACUCCUUGCGCCCUCCCGUUCCCCUGGCAACGGCCGGUGACCUCACCGGGGUUGUAAGCCGAGCCCAGAGUGAAGUCACCGCUGUUGCUAUGGGGACUCAGUGGUCGCCAAGGAGUUCGGGGUGGGGUGGGCAAGGGAUGGGGGUUGGGGAAAUAGUAUUUGAAGGGGUCUUGAGGAAAACUGGAAAAACUGAGGCUCAGCCAAGCAAGGAACGGCGGAGACCUGAGAGGGAUGGGAAGGAGACGCCGAGGGGGAGGGGCGAGCGGGGGCCAGGAACCAAGGCGGUGGCAGCCGCGCCCUAAGCCAGCUGGCCCGGGGCCCCUCCAGCCCUAGAUCGGUCCUCCACGAGCCUGCCUUGAGGAUGCAGAGCCCCAUCUAGCUCCAGUUCUGCCGCCAACUCCCUGGCACCUUGGACAGAUCCCCUGAUCCUUCAGGCCCCCUCAUCAGUUGAGUGGGGAUAACACUACUGCCUCCCAGCCUCUGAGAGAAGCUUACUGAGUCUCUGGGAGUAGCAGGAGGUCAACACAGAGACAGGUCUCAAGACUUCCUGGCCUCUCCCAUCUCGUGGGCAGUUGAAGGAGCUACUUCCUGUCUUAGUCCCCGACAGCAGUAAUAAUAAUAAUAAUACCAAAUGAAAUUCUGAUUGUACACUCAAGACGUGCCAAGCAGUAUACCUAUGUUUCUUGCACAUCAUUUCAUUUCAUGAGGGUGCCAGCACAGACCUGAAACCCCCUUUGUCACUAUGGGGAUACCCUUACCCCUGUCCCUAGCCUUCCUGCCACCCCACUCAGGAGCUCCUGGGAGCUUGCCCUUACCCGUAAG
rnacentral:lncRNA from 1 species